CAGAAAAAAAACAGAUAGGUUCGAUCUACGUGUCAAAAAUAACAGGUUCACCUCUGUUUUAUGCAAAAUAGAGGAAAGACUUUCAGUAGGCUGGUGGGUAUUUGGGGUAUUAGCUCAAACAAAAAAAAAAAUAAACAGAAGUGUAUCUGGUGGUGGCUAAGAUUUGAAAAAACAAAACAAAGCAACCACAAGAAACAUCAACAACCAAAAAACCCCCAACAACCUCAUUUUAGUGCGUAGAACAGUUAUUCAUGGCUUCUUUCUAAAGGUGAAGGACUUGUGUCCAAGACAAGAUGUCCAAUGCAUUUUUUGGAAAUAUUGUGAAAUAUUAAGGAAUGGGAAGUGGAAAGAACGAAAAGCAAAUCUAAUCCCAUUCUUAACCAUACUACUCAAUGAUGAUCCAUAUCACAAAAAGGAAAGAAUACCUUGUAAUCUAAAUUAAAAUGACACACUGUCUAAAGAAUCAAUGGACUUGCCAAUAUACUAAAAACUUACAUACUGCCUUCUCAACAAGCAAAAUACCGUAACUCCAUUAAAUACAAAUGCUAAAAAUCUGUCUCCAUAACAAAGCAAUUAUAAUGAGACUUGUCAUUCAUCUCCUGCACAAGGGUGUCGUGAGGCAUGAUUCAUUACGUUCGUGAAGCGCUUUGAAAUCCUGAGAUGAAAGAUGCCAAGGAAAUGCAAAGUAUUAUCACCAUAAUACAAAGUUGUAUUAUCAUUGUCAUCAAACAAAGUGCCUUAGGAAAGGGCACUUUUACACAUGAAUUCAUUUGUGAUUUUAACAGCUCACUUAUUCCACAGCAAAGCUUCUGUUGCUAUUAGAUCCAAAUCUGGAUUUAGGGAGUGAAACUAUCAGGACAAUAUUCUUUCAUUGCCAACUCCAAGAUGUCAUUACUAUAGAGAGCUGUAUCUAAAUUACAGCUUUGCACAGCGCAGUCACAUUUGGUCUAUGUCUGUUAAUUCAGCACCUACCCUGGUGAGCAGCAGCUGCAGUUCAGGAGCACCUCUCCUCCAGGACACUGUGCCUAUCAACUAUCUCCUUCCCUCAGAUGAGACGGCACAAAGAGUAGAUUCCAAAAACAAUACUUUAACCAGGUCCUCUGAAAAAAAAAAAAAAAAGAAAAAAAAAAAAAGAAAGAAAGAAAAAGAAAAAACAACAUUGAAACACGCAAGCAAGACUAAUGCUUAGCAGGUUGAUUUGUAGCUAGAACUGCACCAACAAACUCCUACUUUGUCUCAGUAAUGUCACU
rnacentral:lncRNA from 1 species